UAUCAGCUGCGACUAACUCAGCUGUCAAAUGACAGUAAAAUUGAUAAGGGUUAACUAAUACUCUUGCUGUAACGUACAAUGGGAUUAAAUAACAUCCAGUGAACAGAGGCACUGGGUGAAAGGAGAAUCAGCUGCGCAGACAUCUGACUAUUUACGGUGAACAUUCCCAAAGAUUAAAAGUUGUGGGAACAGCCUCCUCUAAUUGACCGAGCAUUUCAUUGAGGACUGCUGAAGAUGCUCUAUCUGAAGGAGAUGGGGGCUGAGGAGAUUGGGAGACCCCAAAAGAUCCGACACUGCUAUUGAUGAUGGAGCGAGCUGCCUGAAGGUGUCUUCUUUGGCUCUGGCGCACUGUAAAACAACGAGCGAUAUCUUCUGGACCUCAGGAAUGAGGAACCUGUAGACAAGCUCUGCCACAAUCUCUUCAGACUGUUGACUGUUUCGUCUGUACAUAUGCAAACACAAAACAGGACAAAACACCCAACAGAUUAGACAAGAAUCAUUUUGCUUAUUUUUUUUAAAUUAUCAAUAAGUUAAAUAAUAAAUUUUAAAUAAUUCUCAAAUUUAAAAAAAAAUCUUUAUAAAAAACUUACUAACAAAUAUAGGGUAACACUUUAUUUUAAGGAUCAGAAAUUAGUUAGUAAUUAAUGACUAAUAAGUGUAUGUGUAACUGACUAGUUAAUGACCUGUAAGCAGUUACAAGCUAUUUAUAAACCAUUUAUUGGUUGUUGUCUUGAUUUUGUCCUAACAAUAAACUUAUUAACUAAAAACAAAAGAUACAAAUAGCUUGUAUUGUGUAAAAUACACCUAGUACACUGUUUGAGUUUGUAGCUUAUAAGUGUGAAAUAAAUAUAGAACGGGCAUUACAAAACAAACAUUUAAAUGAACAGAAAAAGUACUUUCAUCUUCAUCAGAACAAAGAAAUUUAUACAGGUUUGUAACAACAUGAGAGUGAGAAAAUAAUGACAGAAUUUUAUUUUUUUGUGAACUAUCCCAAAAAUGUUAUUGUUGUAGAAAUUAUAUUACUGGAUGUUUAAACUUGUUCUUGUUUUUAUAUUGUAAAUGUUGAUAAAGAGGUGGUCACUGACUUUUUGAGCGGUGCUUAUAUUAAAGGAGCUGAAGGAGUCCUUUUAUAUGUAAGA